ensembl:lncRNA
AUUGCAAAGGGCAUGGAUGCAGGGGGUAUGGAGAGUCGCUGCUGUUUUUGCAAUCAGUAUCAUUACGCCUUUUCUUGCAAAUCAGGUUUAUAUAACUGUUCCAAGUCAAUUAACUUGUCCAAAGUCCCACUAAGUGGGACUGGGCUGGGACUUGGUAUCAGCUCUGCCUGGCUCCAGAGCCCGCCCACCUCCACCAGAACACACUCCUCCUGCAGCUUCCCUAAGCAUCUGAGGUCCAGCGAGUGAUGCUUCUGUGAUAGAAGCAGGACUCUGUGAGAUUUGUGUCUGUCUAGUCCUCUUCGCCAUUGGGAAUAAUCCCCUCAAGAGAAUGCUGAGGCAUCUUGGAAAGACUUGGAAUAAUUUAGGGAAAUGACAGAGGGCUGAAUUUAGGAAAUCAAGGCCCCAGAAAUAUAGUUUUCAUUUCUAAUCACAGGAGAAAUUUGAAAACACGUAUAAUGCACUCCACAUGUUUGCAAAUUCUUUUCAUCCCUUUUUGGUAUUUGUAGGCUAUUUGUGAUUUUCAACACAGACUAAAUCAAACUACUGUGCCUGAAACAACCUCUUAACUCUGAAAGCAAGUGACAUAAAGAUAGAUCUGCUGGGAAGACAUUUCCUCUUGCUGCAAUUUAGCCAAAUAACUGAGUAACCUUGACGUCGUCCUUUGAUUUUAACAGGGCAUAGCUGUUUUCUAAGCCCCCGUAGCACAUGUGGAAAUCACUUACAGCGAAUGCAUCCCCAGCCCUGAAUCAGUGGUUCUCGCCCCCGGCUGCAUAUUAGAAUCACCUGGGGGGCUUUUAAAAUUCCCGAAACCCAAGUUGCAACACACCCAUGAAAUCUCAGUCCCUGGAGUGGGACCUGGGCAUCAGGACUUUUUACAGCUCCUCCGGGGGAUUACAGCGUGUGGCCAAGGCUGAAAACACUGCUUUAAACCAACAGUUUUUGGGGAACUAGUUGCAAAUGGUUUAUCAAGUAAAUGCAGAACGUUUGCCGCUGAGCUGUAGCCUUUCGCUCUCUCCUACUUGCUGACCUUUGUGGGAACCAACCUCUGCUACUCGUUUUAUUCCCGGUUCAACCCAGUUCCACAAGUACCGCGUGUGUACUACGUGCGGGGCCCUGUGCUAGGUGCCAUGGUCUGGAUGUGACAUCCCGAGACUGACUCCAACACCAUCCUGCCCUGAGGCGACCAUGAAGCUGGCAGACGCCGACUCUCCCUGUGAGUCGAUCAGGGUCCAAGGCCGAACUCUCCGUCAGGCAACUGAACGCACAAGGGGCUUCCAGAAAUCUGCUGCUGAGACCCCCCUGCUGGCAGCUUGCCCUCCCUGGUGCUGAGAGUGACAACAGGAAAGAGUCCCCCGUUCCUGGGCCUGUGCUUCCGGGGUUUUAAUGGAACUGCUUUAAAGGAACUGCUUUGUGAGCUGCGAUGACUUGGCUGCAGAAAAAGCACAUCAGAGCUGGAGGUAGACAGUCUCUAACACUGGCGUGGGGCGGGGUAACUCGGAUGGACGCUGGCUGAGGCAAUAAUGAGUCCUUCGUCACGGAAACUGGCGACCACUCAGGGCUGUAGGGCCUGAGGUCUCAUCAUACAUCACUGGGUUCACGAGAGUCUAAAAUCAACCCAAUAAUUACGAUGUCCAUUGUUUGUUGAGGGUUUCUUUUUCCUUUUAGGAGAAACGAGAGUGGAGGAGAGGGAAAAGAAAGAAAGCUUAACGGAUAACGAGACCGUUAACUGUUACAAAUAGCAUCAUGGCAUUAUUCGGACUCACAGCUUGCCUAAAGUUGCAGUUAAAGUGCCAUUUUCAAUGCCCAAAUUGCUAAUUUGGUUGCUUAAGUUCUUUCUUUUGUAUUUUAAUUAGAAAACUUCAGUUCAGGACUGUAGGACUUACUAUCGCCCCUCACUCCACCCCGUGCCUACUUGUCAUUGUUCCAAGAAAAUAGGAAACCAGGUUGAUGGAACAUGUACUAAGUUCCAUGAGAGCAGGGAGUGUCUGUCAUGCUCACUGCUGUGCCCCAGGGCUCAGCACAGUGUCGGUGCAUAGCUGGUUCUCAACAAACAUCAACUGAAUAAAUAUUACUUUCCAUAGGGCUUUGCUUCAGCUUCUAAAACAAAACAAUACUAAUAGCUUCUAAGUGACAGCCACUUCUGGUAAGCUUUAUACCAGUUUUUCUUGCAGUGUUACAUACUUAUUUUUAAAGCGGCAACUUAUUUAUUUCGAUUAAGAAAAACACAUGAAAAUAAGCAAUAUUUUGUGGGCCCACUUAUUCAGUGUCCCAGUGAUAUCAGACAUCCUUAAUUUUCAAAGUAUCAUAGUAAUUUCGAAGUAUCAUAAGUAAUUCUGAUAAAAGAUCCACUGGCAAUAUGUUUAGACAUUCCAUCAAUGAGAUGUGUCUGUUAAUCCUUGCAGGCUUAACCCAGACAUUUAGAGCAGGUCAAAAGGAACAAGCCAAAUAGGCAGCUCUUCUCAAAAUCAGGGAGACGCUGUGCUUCGGAAACCUAGAUCAUAGAAGACUUUGAAAGGACCCUCCUUGGAAUGAUCCACCUGGCUUUCCAGACUUCAGCUUCUGCCUCUGUGACUCAGAGAGGAGCUCCGCAGUGGCGUGACUGGCCCAUCUCAUGCCCUCAGGCCCUCUGAGAGAGCAGUUCUUCUCGCCCUCCCGGCUCAAGGAGUAGGUGCUGGCCCCAAGGGCAGCUCAUUUACAGGGUGACCCCCAUUUUAGGAGGUGGUCUGGUGAGAGCUCUCUGCCCAGCAGGGAGGACAGCAACUAUCUGAAGCAAUUGGAUACUUUCUUUGUGGGGAUUUGAAUUCGAGACCUGUAGAGACCAUCAGCACUUGCUUUUCUGGGCAGAAGCACAGGUAGGCAGAGAGCAGAGGGUAGAAGUGAUGAGUCAGGACAAACCAUGACCAAGCAGAGGCUGGAGCAGCCCAGUCUCCAAACUGCAGCCCCAGCUCCUGGAGGAGCAAAUGCCCGAUCUCGAGGAGACAGCCGGUUAUUGACUCACAGAGCUGCCGUCCAACACGGGACCCAGGGCUGACCACAAAUGCCCCUCCCUUCAGGCCCCACACAGCCUGGUGAGGCUGUUUCCAUUCUUUCCCUUCCUGUCUCCUUAGCUAACCUGGAAGAGCCCAAUUAACACGUGUAAAUUAAGAUCUCUCUGGUACUAAAAUUCUAGAAUUACACUGAGCACAGUAAAAACUCAUUAAGGCAGGCCACUUGUUCCAAAUUUCUAAUUAUCCCAUUUGGACUAAGCUAAAGUUUAUUCUGCUCAGCAAAAUUUUAUUAUAGAUAACUCAAAAAGAGAAGGUGCAGAGGAAUUAUUCAAAAGAUUUCAAAGAACAAGCUAUUAAUUUGUUAAUUUAAAACUAUUUUAUUAUAAAAGUUUAUUAGUUAUUUAUUAUAAUAAUAGUUAUUUAUUAAACAUUUAUGACCCCAGGAACUUCAAUUGCCUAGAAUGGAUAAAUAUUGUUAACCUUUAUGCUUUUAUUUUUCAACAAAUAUUUACUGAUCCUCUCUGUGGGCCAGGUUCUGUGCUAAGCACUAGAACACAGAAACAUAGACUCAAUCAAAUACAGCAUGGUACUGUGUGUUUAUUUUAAAAAUAAAAUAGAAGUGUGAGGUAAAAAUUACCUUGGACUCUUGGUUUUUGCCCCCCGAUGUGCACAGGUGUGUGUGUGCGCGCACACACAUACUACACAUAUUUAAUGGACCUUGCCCGCAAGCAGCUUAGAGACUGGCGGGGAGACAGACAAAUAUAUGAACAAUGAUGCUGCCACGAUGGGUGCUGAGAUGGAGGUGUGCGCACGGUGUGCUAACAGGAGUGGAAGAGGAACGUCCCAGUCUCUCUAGGAGUGGGUCCAGAGAGGCUUCCUGGGGAUAACUGGGGUUGAGGGUUAAGGAUGAACCUAGGUGCCCAGGUGGAGAGGAGUGGGCACCCCAGGCAACUACAAGUCGCUCAGUGGGACCGGAGCCCACACGGCACGAACAGUGGGGAGCGCAGUCACUUCUCGUUAUCUGCAGGAGUUAUGUUCUGUGGACUUGCUGCAAACACUGAAUUAGUGACACUGAACUAUUGCUCGUAGGGGACACACAGGUUAGGUUCCUGGGAGCCUCCAGUCACAACAUUUUUGUCAACCAAAACCCCAUGUGUGUGAUACAGGUUCGUUUACCAAGAUCCGUGUAAAACAAGCCUGUCCUGUCAGCACGGCGCGCCUGCUGUGCCACCCCACACCUUUCCUGCACAGCACUCACCAGCUGUUUCCAAAAUCCUCCACAGCCUCCGGAUCUGCAGAACCUUCCUCACCAGCAGGUUCAACGUUUUUCACGGCAUUUCACCUUUUGAAAUGUGCGAGUCAGCCAGCACUAGCUGAGAAGGGUUUAACGUUUACCUGGCCAUAAAUCUCUUCGGGUUUUCUCACAACAACAUUGCCCACUAUGCUGUUUUUAAUCAGUCGUCAUCUCCUGAAUCCGGAAAUACAGCCGCUUUUCCAUCUUCUCCAUGGCUUCUCCACACACAACAGACGUUGCUCUAGCACUUUCUGCAGUGGCCUCGCGUUCAGAUUGGCGAAUUUCCUCUUCCUUUUUCUGGAUGUACUGUAUGUUGAUUCAUUAACACUGAGCCACGGCUGACAGUACUGUGACCCGUUCCUGACCAAAGCGCAGCUAACACGCGUAUUUUCUCCAGAAGGCACAUCACAGCUUUCUCGCCUUUAGGAACACUAGCCAGCACUUCAGCACCUAUGCUUUGAGGGCCAUUUAAAGAUCAAAAUCAUCAACAAAAAGCACAAAAAUAUGAAAAACGUGGCACUAAGUAGACGAUGAAAAGGAUACUUGCUACAGUACGAGAGCUGAAGUGGAAAGCAGAGCGUGCCCUUGUUCAGCCCUGGCUGGGAAGCGCAUGUUCGGCGAGUCAGAUUUCUGCCCCUCUCUGCUCCCGUCUGUGGAUACUGGGAAAGCACCGCGAGUGUUGAUUUGGGGUACAAAUAAAUGUUAGCAUGUAGGCAAAUUCACAAAUACGAAAUCCAUGAAUAAAGAAGAUCGACUGUAACGCUAGAGAAGCAGAUAGAGGCCUGUUGCUAAGUGGAAAGGCUGCUCUUGUCGCGAAAGCCGUCGUUGCCACUGAAGAGUUUCAGGUAAGAGAGCGGCGUGAUCUCUUUGUGGGGACAGCACUUUUUCUAAAUGUAUCGCAUGGCUUGCAGAGAGGAAGACCAGAGACCGGCUGGGAGACGGCUGUCCCAGAAGAAGGUGAGGGGUGAAUGAACAGCCAGGGGCACACGUUUGAGGAGGAGCUGACCUGAGAGCCACUGAGUCUGCAGCCCCGGCGUUGCGUUGGGCACGAGCGGCGAGGUGGAGGAAGGAGGACACCCCCCGGUUUCGGGCUUGGGCCUGGAGUGGUGUAGGGCAGUGGGGAGAGCUCUAGCCUCGGAGUCAGAGAUACUGAGUUUAAAUCUGGACUCCACCUCUCACCAGCUGUGUAGCCUUAGAUGUGUUCCUGAACUUCGCUAAGCUUCAGUUUUUUCAUCUCUAGCACAUAGAUUCUAUGUGAUGGGAAAGUAACGCCUCAGAGUUAUUUGGAGAUUUAAAUAAGUGCUGGUGCUUUUCACUUAAAUAAGGAAACUAGGAAAAGGACAGCACCUGGGCUGAUGGAGGAGAGGAGUCCCGUUGGACACGGGAAGUUGGAUGUGCCCGUGGACGUCCAUGUACCAACAUCCAGUAGCCAUUCGAUAUGCUCCCCAGAGGCCAGGAGCAGAGAAGCUGGGGUAGAGACAGGCCGAUGUGGUGUCAUUAGCAGGCAGGCAGCUGCUACAGCUAGGAGGGGCGGGCAGUUCCAGCAUCAGAGGUCCAAGGAUAAACCCUGGAGGAUUCCAACAUUUAAGAAGAGCCUGGGAGGAAGACCAAGAGAAGGAGGCAGGAUGAGGAGGAGGAGCACCAGGAGAGCGUGGAUGAUGGCAGGCGGGGCAGGAGAGAGUCCAGGAGGGAGCGGGCGGAGUCAGUGCUCCGAAAGCAUCAAGUGAGAGUCACAGAACUCUCGGGCUGGAGGGACCCAGGAGAUCUUUGAGUCUAACGCCCUUAUCUGUCCUGAGAAGAAAUCGACAUUCAAAGAGGAGAAGUGAGCUGUUUGAGGUCACACUGAUUUCACAGCAAGAUACCUAAUUC